CGAAGGAACAUCUACAACAUAUUGCAUAUUAUAAUAUCCCGAUAUAUGCGCAUUCUCAAAGAUUCUGUUCUAGCAAUAGAAUGCAGCUCAAGAGAUGGAGGUUUCAAACACAAUGGCUAUAUGCUGAUUCAAUGAAUGUUCAAUAUAACCAGAUGAAUACUAAUAGUAGUUACAUAUUUUCUGUUUCUCAAUGAGUCAUUUUGUAUUGAAAAUCUACUAAAAUGCAGCUUCCCAAAAAAGGAAGAUACAUAUAUAACUAUCGCUUAAACGAGAGAGAUUGUUAUAAUCCUGAGCUGUUGUUGAUAGGUUGAAACA
rnacentral:sRNA from 1 species